CAACUAACGUGGCACCUCUUAUUGCCGCGGCGCUGGUCAUAGCAGCAUUUCUUGUGCUACUUUGCCUCAUAAUGCGCUGUCGUCGGAAGAGAGAUACCAUAGAUUACAAAAUUACUAAGCUUGACAGGUACGCAGAAGUACUACACGCAAGCACAGCGUGCAGUCACCGAAGUCCAGUAAUGCAUAUAGCCAGACGCAAUAAAGUAGAAGGCACAGAGGAGAAUUUCUACAGCUCACCAAUAGCGUUACAAACACGACAACCUAGAAUCACAUUACAGUAAUU